UACGAAGGGGGCUAGCGUUGUUCGGAAUUACUGGGCGUAAAGGGCGCGUAGGCUGUGCUGUAAGUCAGGCGUGAAAUCCCCGGGCUCAACCUGGGAAUUGCGUUUGAUACUGCAUGGCUGGAAUUAGGAUGAGGUCAGCGGAAUGUGGCAUGUAGCGGUGAAAUGCAUAGAUAUGCCAUAGAACACCAAUUGCGAAGGCAGCUGGCUAGACCUGGAUUGACGCUGAGGCACGAAAGCGUGGGGAGCGAACAGG
rnacentral:rRNA from 1 species